AGCUGGGCUGAUGGCUGGUUUCUCUGAGAACACUGGUCUGUCUGUGGUGUUGGACAGGAGGAGAGCUCUCACCCUCUCACCUCUACCGCCAGAUACCUCCUGCCAGACGGAGAGCCCCUAUAAGAUUCCACACAGCUCAGCGGAGAAUGGCUACACCAAGGUGCACUGGACUCAGUUUGCCCAUGUCCCCUCACUCAAGACGUCUGUGCAGAAGAAUGGCACCACCUCCUCCACCAAUCACACGCUGCAUCCUGAGAGGCGUGGCAGUGCCAGGCGAGAACUGCGGUUAGUUCUGAAUGACGUUCUGAAGACAAAAAUUGGGCGACAUUACCUGCAAGAGGGUGGGUGUGUCCAGUCGUCAGCGAGCCAAUCAGGGAAGAGCUGGAGAGAGAGCCAGACACCGCGGCAACAGGGUGGGUGUGGCCAGUCGUCAGCGAGCCAAUCAGAGAAGAGCUGGGGAGAGAGCCAGAGACCGCGGCACCAGAGUGGGUUUGACCAGUCACCAGUAAGCCAAUCAGCGAAGAGCUGGAGAGAGAGCCAGAGACCGCGGCAGCGGCCCAGACCAGCCGGGUUCCGAAGGAGGCGUGGCGAUCUCCAGCCCAAACGAAUCUAUUCCUCAGACGAGCUCCAGCCCAAACUAAUCUAUUCCCCAGACGAUCCCCAGCACACACAUGUCGAUUCAGCCAAGAUCAGAACUCUCCUUUUCCAAAGGUCCAAACCACCAGCCUCGGAACAGCCCAAACUGAUCAAUUCCUCCCGGUCGGAUCGGUCGGAUCACUCUGAACAGGCCAAACUGAUCAAUUCCUCCCGGUCGGAUCGGUCGGAUCGGUCGGAUCGGUCGGAUCACUCUGAACAGCCCAAACCAAUCAAUAGACCGAAAGCCAAACCAGAAUCCAGAUCCAUCGACUACUACUUCAAGUGUCAAACCCCCAACGCGGGCACACCGGAGUCGGUGGAGCGGGCCAAACCCAAACCAGCUCGCUCAGAACCACAACCCAGACCAGCUCGCUCAGAACCGCCGCCCAGACCAGCUCGCUCAGAACCACAACCCAGACCAGCUCGCUCAGAACCGCAACCCAGACCAGCUCGCUCAGAACCACAACCCAGACCAGCUCGCUCAGAACCGCCGCCCAAAUCCCUUAAUAACGCUCAAGGCCACCCAGGCCUGGGUACAGGACCACUACACUCCCCCUCCUCCUCGGGUCAGACCGCUACCGGUCAGCCCAAACACGCUGACCCCUCACAGUCCAAACUGGGGGGCCGCUCCAGGUCAGAACCACUCGCCUCCGGGUCGUCUGCACCAGGGGCCCGCACAGCCUCCGGUGCUGAGAAGCACUCCGAGCGGGCCGAAGCCCCAGCAGACUCUCCCAAGCCUCGCCCGGGCGUCUCUGGGCGGUCCGAAGCCCCAGCAGAGGGGCCCGAUUCGGGUGAAGUGACCCGGUCUGAGUCCAGUCUACCGGAGAGAGGCAACUCGCGUCUGGUUCCUCCGACUCAGAUGCCUGAGGAUUCUCAUGAGUCAGGACCUGUGACCCACGGACGGCCUCCUGCAGCAGAGGAAGAGCACGCGAAGAGGAGGAGUUGUGAGAAUGGUGGCGAGAACAGGAAUGGCGUGAUGAGGGAGGAAGAGUGUGUGUUGAGGAAGAGUGUGCUGCGUCUCUCGGGAGAGAGUGCGGUGGUGAGCGGAGACGAAGAGCCGCCAAUCAAGUGUCCCCGCCUAGUGAGCCCAGCUGAAGAAGAGCCAAUCACGUGUCCCCGCCUAGUGAGCCCAGCUGAAGGACAGCCAAUCACGUGUCCCCGCCUAGUGAGCCCAGCUGAAGACCCGCCAAUCAAGUGUCCCAGUCUAGUGAGCCCAGCUGAAGAACAGCCAAUCAAUGCGGAAAGGCAGAGUUUGAUAAGGACCCCCUCUCACAACAGCCAAUCAGAGCUCAUUGUUCUCUCCAGUGAGGAAGAGUGUGAUGAAGAUGAGGCCGGUGAUCAAAAUGGCGCUGACGUUGCUGCUGAUGGUCAUGGCGGGGAUGAGGAGGACACCGACGACGAUGAGGAUGGUGGUGGUGAUGAUGAUGACGAGGAUGGUGGUGGUGAUGAUGACGAGGAUGGUGGUGGUGGUGGUGGUGGUGGUGGCAGUGAUAACUGCGAUGAAGAGGAGAAUGCUCUUCCUGGUCCCUCCACUAGACUAGAGGAGGCUCCGACAGACACCCAGAACACACACAUCUUUGACACACUCACAGAGGACCCUGAUUUUAACGGAGUUGAGCUGAGUCAUCUGCCUUCGGUUGAGCUGUCUUUCUCCGCCUUCUACAUGGGAGGAGUCAAGGCUCUGGCCAAUGGGAAAGUGGAGGUGGGUGUGGUCAUCAGAUCGAUCAGAGUUUGGGAAACUGAGCACAGGCGUGUGUGUGUGUGUGUGUGUGUGUGUGUGUGUGUGUGUGUGUGUGUGUGUGUGUGUGUGUGUGUGUGUGUGUGUGUGUGUUGGGCUAUGGCUAACAGUAGAGUGUGUGUGUGUGUGUGUGUGUGCGUGUGCGUGUGAUGUUCAAAGUUCGUAUAAAGCAAAUACGUAUGUGUUUGUCACGCGACAGAAAAAUGUGUUAUUGACCACCCAGCCAAAAACCCCAGAGUGAUUGAUGCCUGGUGCAGUCAAAGUUUCAGAGCAGACAAUACUGCUUAUGUUGAGUAGUGGGGUUUCAGUACGUGAUCAAUACUGCUUAUGUUGAGUAGGGUACGUGAUCAAUACUGUUUAUGUUGAGUAGGGUACGUCAUCAAUACUGCUUAUGUUGAAUAGGGGUUCCAUACGUCAUCAAUACUGCUUAUGUUGAAUAGGGUACGUCAUCAAUACUGCUUAUGUUGAGUAGGGGGUCGUUCCAGUACGUCAUCAAUACUGCUUAUGUUGAGUAGUGGUUCCAAUACGUCAUCAAUACUGCUUAUGUUGAGUAGGGGUUCCAGUACACACACACACACAC
ensembl:lncRNA